AAUUGCUUGUAGUCACCUUCACAAUGUUAUUGAAGUUCGAGCUGGGAUCUGAAUUCUGACUGAAGUUUGCGAAGGGUUUGGGAAAACGUGAGACUCACAAGAUUCGAAUACCCCCAGACACAAAGACCCCUUUCUGCAAUCUAUUUUUGAAUUCCAAGGAGUCUGAGGAUUGCACAAGGGGCUGGAUCCUGUGGACCACUGG
rnacentral:lncRNA from 1 species